GAUGAACGCUGGCGGCGUGCUUAACACAUGCAAGUCGAGCGAACGGACGCGAAGCUUGCUUCUUUGAUGUUAGCGGCGGACGGGUGAGUAACACGUGGAUAACCUACUUAUAUGACUGGGAUAACUUCGGGAAACCGUAGCUAAUACCGGAGAAUAUUUUGAACCGCAUGGUUCAUAAGUGAAAGACGGUCUUGCUGUCAGUUAUAGAGGGAUCCGCGCUGCUUUAGCUAGUUGGUAAGGUAAAGGCUUACCAAGGCAACGAUGCAUAGCCGACCGGAGUGGGGGAUAGGCCACACGGGAGCGGAGACACGGUCAAGAGUCCUACGGGAGGGAGCAGAAGGGAAUCUGCCGCAAUGGGCGAAAGCCUGACGGAGCAACGCCGCGUGAGUGAUGAAGGUCCUCGGUUCGGAAAACUGUGUUAUGAGGUAAGAACAGAUGUGUAAGUAACUGUGCACUUCGUGACGGUACCGAAUCAGAAAGCCACGGCUAACUACGUG
rnacentral:rRNA from 1 species